UACAGAGACUGCAAGCGUUAUUCGGAUUAACUGGGCGUAAAGGGUGCGCAGGCGGCCGGGUGUGUCAGAUGUGAAAUCCCGAGGCUUAACCUCGGAACUGCGUCUGAAACUACUCGGCUAGAGUACUGGAGAGGGUAACGGAAUUCACGGUGUAGCAGUGAAAUGCGUAGAUAUCGUGAGGAACACCAGAGGCGAAGGCGGUUACCUGGACAGUUACUGACGCUCAGGCACGAAAGCAUGGGGAGCAAAAGGG
rnacentral:rRNA from 1 species